CCUGACCUAGCAGUGAGCAUCCCAGGCUACUGGGAUGCUGGUGCCCACAGCUGUAUGCAGCACUUGUGUGAUGUUUGAUCCCACGGGGUGCAGUGAGUGCAGGCGAUGUGCCUGCUGCUCUGGCCAUGUCUCUCCCUCCUCAAUAGCUCUGGGUUUUUGGAAAUGAGUUCUCCUGGUUUUGCUCUCCCACCACACCCCCAGAAUAGGUGGAUUUCAGAAAGGCAGUAGGGUGGGGUGGUUGGGAUGGUUAUGGGGGGUCAUCUGUUUUUUACUUUGUAUGUGUGUAUGUUUAUCUGAGAGUUUUCGCCCAUCCCUGCUGGCCUUUCCUUACUCCUCGUAUUUGUACGGUACAAGCAAUAAAGACACUCAUUUCAGA
rnacentral:lncRNA from 1 species